rnacentral:rRNA from 1 species
CCCUACGGGGUGCAGCAGGCGUUUCUGGGUGCGCAUCAGCUUGUUGAUCGUCUCGAUCAUGUGCACCGGGAUGCGAAUGGUGCGGGCUUGAUCCGCGAUCGACCGCGUGAUGGCUUGGCGAAUCCACCAGGUCGCGUAGGUGGAGAACUUGUACCCGCGCUGAUAUUCGAACUUCUCGACCGCCUUCAUCAGGCCCAUGUUCCCUUCCUGAAUGAGGUCGAGAAAGGACAGACCGCGGUUGGUGUAUUUCUUGGCGAUGGAAAUGACCAGACGCAGAUUGGCCUCAACCAUCUCGGUCUUGGCCUCGAGGGCCUUGGCGGCGGCGGCUUUCAGCCGGUCAAAGGCCUGGAGAUACUCCGGAUAGGGCAUCCGCACGAAUCCCUCCAGUGCGUGGAGCUUCCGCAACUCGGAAUUGGCGGGAGAGC